UCAAAAGACCUCAAGUAACCCAAAACAAUAAGGGUUGGCAAGUGCCAGACUCUCUCACUCAGAUCAGGUAGUUCCACUGGUGUCACUCAUGUCACAGGUGUUAUGCACUGUGAGGUCCCUUGGCAUUCCAGCAAUUCUGUUCCGUAUUCCACUGCAGCCAAGUGUAGUGGUUGGCUCCCCCAGUAACCAGACCCAGCCACAACGCUCUAAUAUCAUGGACUCAGGAGCGGAGUGACACCAGCGGGACUACCCAAUCGUCACUUGCCAACCCAUAUCAUUUUAGUUUUUUUGCCAUCUUUUGAGUGUGAUUGUUUGGGGUGUCUGCUCUCCUUAGUAAAGGGUUUAUCCACCAUUUACCACAGUACAGCAAUCUCUUCUAAUGUCUGUGCAGCUGUUCUUCAAGCAGGAAUAAUCAGCGGCAAUCCAAACAGAGGGUCAAAACAAAAGAAUAGUCCAAAUAUCCAUUCUACGAGGUCAAAUAACAAAGAGGCUCACCAAAUUUCCAAAUCUAGAUGCACAACACGUGGUCCAAAGCAUGAAGAUCAAGAAGUUAUUGGCUGUAGCUCCAAUACACAAUGAUUGUUGCUAACAAAAGGCUACUGCCGACAUCAGUUAUUUAUGCUGCCACCGAAAACCCUUACAACUGUGAAGCCCUCUUCUGUGCCAGUCGAUUAGACCUUUGCAGCUAAAUGUCAUCCACUCUCAUCUGAAGCAGGGAAGGGCGAGUCAGCUCCUGUUCUUUAGCCUGAUCCUGCCCUGACUCAGAAAUUUCUAUAUUAGAAAGGCCUGGCUCCUGUUAGCAGUAGUGGAUUCCAAGGUGUCAGGCUGCUCAGGUAACUCCUCAGCAUUGGUCCUGAAUUCAGCAGCUGGAAGAAAGCCCUCUUCUUCAUAAUCCUCAUUCAAGACCAGAAUCCUGACAAAAGCCCUGGAACACAACAGAACCAUCAGAAAGCAAGGCUGUCACUAUCUCAGCCACGCAUGUGAAUUAUUUGGAUUGUGGAGUAUUUAGAAUUUCAAAAUUCCAGGUAUUUCUUGUAAUAGCUCUCCCUCUUCAUUCAAUUACUGGGGAUUAUGCCUCGCACUCCAGCAAUGCUUCCUUCAAACACCUGUGUCCUCCUGUCAAAUAAAUGGUGAGAUUGCCCUGCUUUUGUGUGGGAGUUCCAAUUUUCCGUUUGCCUUGAGACCAACAAGAAAAAAGGAAGCUUUGUAGUAUGAAAUGUAAUAAACAGUUGUUUGUGAUUUGUGGCUUGUUAAAAAUGUUUUUGAGGCAAGGUCUCUAUAAAAACGCUUUGAGAUGUGGUUGUCCUAUUAUCACCAAUACUGCGUUAUUUACAAAUGCUGAUCCCUCUUUGGGAAAAAAAUGCAAUUACAGCCAUCUGUGUUUGUUUUCUACACGUUCCCAUUAAAGUGUUCUCAGCAUACAGUAGAAUUCCUAAAUUGAAAUCUUUAAAAGGGCACGAGGAAACUAUUCUUCAGGGCAACACGCCGCCACUCAACAUGUUGUCAAACUGUGUUGCUGCUGAAGCUGCCAAAUUGUUUUGAGAUAUCUUGAGAUUCCUGAACUAUAAAGGAGUUGGAAGGGGAGGGAGGAAAAAGCAAGCUCAGUCCUUUUGCAGUGGAGAAGAAUCUAAUCCCUCACCACACUCCUUUAUAUUGCAACAAAAGCAACUAAUAUGUUCCAUUGUUAUCUUUUUUUUUUGCUCCACACUUCAGCGGAAACUGCUUUAGCACAAUUAACAACUUUCCAAGCACUGUUUUAAAGGGCAAGCACUUUGUAGUCUCUCCUACCGACAGUGAUUCUUUAAUUGCUCUGGAAUAUCUGCAUAGAAAAUGUAAGCUUAGUUAUGUCUUAUUUAUAGGCAAAUGUACACCUAAAUUUAGAUAGAUAUAUAGCUUUGACAGAUUUCAAGGCUGAAACAAUCUGGGCUUAAAAGUUUAAAAUGCACAUAGGAGUAUUUCUUGUAAUUUAAAUAAAUUAUAUUUUAACAUUUGAAAAAAUAGAAUUAUUAGCUACAGUGCAUCCCAACCAUGUUUUGAAAUGUUGAACAACAAUAACAAUUUUUUGUUCUGAAUACACACAAAGUCCUUGAAGUAGUCAACAUUUUCUAAACUGGAUUUGUUAAGUAUGAUUACAAAGGAGGAAGAAGAAAAAACUCAAAAGAGAAAAGAAGAAAAGUGGGAAGAGAAAUACAUUAAA